rnacentral:rRNA from 1 species
UCAGGUGGCUAUAGCACCGGGGUUCCACCUCUUCCCAUUCCGAACAGAGAAGUUAAGCCCGGUCACGCCGAUGGUACU